AGUCAAUCAGGGUCAACGAAGUUACUCACAGACUUCAUAGGUCGAGUCAAAAAGCACUGGCCAAGUACCACAAGAACAAACAAAAGGCUACCAAAGAUUGACAUGGAAGAUGACAGAAAAACGCAACCUCAUCGGGAAUGAGACAAUACCUGGCGAUAUUCUGGCAAUCACAUCAACCUUAGUCACUGACUUCAACGGUUAGUUCUUGAAAUAACAUUAAAUAAACUCACAUGAUUUUGUGGUUCAUUUACUAUUACACUAUAUGGUUACACAAGCUCAAAUACUUGAAAGAAGAUUCAAUUUUUGUGUUAAAAAGAACUUAACACAGCAUCCAAUUUCAUGUCCACAACUGGUACUCCACAAUAAUUACGGCUUUGACAUUGACUAAAACAUAAAUAAAUAUGAUCAAACCUAAGAU
rnacentral:lncRNA from 1 species